GUGCCAGCAGCCGCGGUACUACCGGCAGCCCAAGUGAUGGCCGAUCUUAUUGGGCCUAAAGCGUCCGUAGCUGGCUGCGCAAGUCCGUCGGGAAAUCCACUCGCCCAACGAGUGGGCGUCCGACGGAAACUGCACAGCUUGGGACCGGAGGACCCGAGGGGUACGUCCGGGGUAGGAGUGAAAUCCUGUAAUCCUGGACGGACCGCCGGUGGCGAAAGCGCCUCGGGAAGACGGACCCGACAGUGAGGGACGAAAGCCAGGGUCUCCAACCGGAUUAGAAACCCGAGUAGUCC
rnacentral:rRNA from 1 species